rnacentral:rRNA from 1 species
AUGCCGCGGUGAAUACGUUCCCGGGCCUUGUACACACCGCCCGUCACACCACGAGAGUUUGUAACACCCGAAGUCGGUGAGGUAACCUUUUGGAGCCAGCCGCCGAAGUGGGAUAGAUGAUUGGGGUGAAGUCGUAACAAGGUAGCCGUAUCGGAAGGUGCGGCUGGAUCACCUCCUUUCU